AGAGAGGUGGCCGAGCGGCUGAAGGCGCACGCCUGGAAAGUGUGUAAACCGAAAGGUUUCGUGGGUUCGAAUCCCAUCCUCUCUGCCA
rnacentral:tRNA from 2 species